GUAAGGAGUAAUGGGACUAAGGAAGAAGAAAGACAGUGUUUUCCACUUGUUUUUCGCAUGGGAAGUCACUCCCAACAGCAGAGCUGGGGCCUGGGUGUCGUCUUCUCUUGCUGCCUGCUGGCAGCAGUGUGGGUGCAGCUUCCCUGGCCAGCAGCCCUGCAGGCUGCCCAGCUUGUUGAGCCAGUUCCAUCUUAAAGUGUAAUUAAGUGGUCUCCCCUUGCUGAAUGCAGCAGGGAAGAAAAAGCAGUAUGUUCUAGUGUCAUUUUCAUGUUUUGUGCCAACAGCAGAACUUGUGGACCAUGAAAAUGGGUAACUCUUUGGCACCAAGUGCUCACUGCUGAGCGCAACACUUAGGAUCUGAGCAAGGCAUGGCACUUUCAGGUCCUUGUGAUGUUGUUUGAAGGAAUUAAAUAAUUAGAACCAAACAGGACUGAUCUCAUGCCUACAGCAUGUCCCAGUAGCCAAAGAAACCCUGCUUAAUGGGAAAGCAGUCACUGUGUAAACAUAAACCACAGCUCCAUGGAAGUCUCCAUGGAAGUGCUCCACCCUGAGCACUCUGAGACAAAAUAUGAGGUAACAGGAGGUGAGGAAUUAAGAAACUAAGUUCUAUUCCCAGCUCUCAGACAAAGCUGCUAAGAAUAGAUGCUGAUGAGGAAGGGGAAGGAAAGUUGGGAGGAGAAGUCAAGACAUUUCCUUUGAGGCCCCUAAAGGGCCUGGGGAACUUCAGAGGUGACCUUCCUCUGUGGUCUGUAUCACUGUAGCCUUUUCUAGAUGCUUCCUCCAUUCUUGUCACUACCUAGAUAAGCACAAAUAGUUUUUUUCUGGGGCACUUUUAGCCCCUCUUCUUGACCUCAAGUAAAUUCUGUGAGAUUUAUUGACUCAGAGUAAUUUUUUCGAAGCUGCUCACAGCUGCAGUUGCCACUGACUUCAGACAGAGUGAUGCCCGAGUCUCUCCUGGUAGAUCAGUCACUUGAAGCUGGACACUUGAGACACUUGAAGCUAGAGGAUGCACUUGAAAAUGUGAUUUCCAGACAUCUAUGAAUGUGAGCUUCCCCAGUCACCAAAGAGAAACCAUUACCUGGCUAGGUAGCGUGGUGCUUGAGUGUCUCUCACAGAGUGGUCUCUAGGUAGACUUGGAGGGUUUCCUGGAUCCACUGUGGUUCUCUGCCUGUGGGUUACACAGGCAUUCCUGGGCCAUUGUUAACUUACACUGGAAUGGGUUGGCUCAACUUCAGACAUCUGAGCACAGUUUAAGUAAACAGAGUGGCAAUUGUCUGAGUAAACAGUGCCUUUGUAAGAGUUCUUUCAGUUCUACACCUGAGACGUGUUUAAAAACACAAAAUUAAACAAACAAAACGCACCCACUUCUCUAUUUACUUUUUACAUUUCUUUUACUCUUUGAAGAGCGCCCGCCAUUCUUUCUGACUUGUUAGUAAUGAAAGGCCAAGCCAAUAAGGAGAAAACAGAUUUCUCUGUUCCCCAAAGAUUUUGCAGAUGUGCCUGUGGUGCAGAAAUACAAAUUGCUUUUGUAUUUGAACUGGCCCUUAAAUUGUAAAUAUUGCUUGAUGGUUUUGGCAUCUCAUUACCAGCACUUCCAUGCCAUUUCCAGAAGAACAGCGCAGCUCCCAGCAUGAGCAAAGGACAAAACUGAAUUUGACUUUCAGACAUUUCCAAAGUGAAUGAAUAAAUAAAUAAGUAAGCCAAAGUGAAGUCAAAGCAAAAGAAAUCAAGUCACUGAUUAUAGUGUCUUUAAUUAUAGUGUAUUGUGUUAGUCUCUAGAAAUACUUAAAGCAGUUUCUAAUUCAGUGUCAGUCUUGAAGAACACUUUGUUUGUACUAAUGAGGUCAACUUGAAAUUAAAGCCAAAUCUGUAGGAUGCAAAGUGACUUAUGUCAGCACAGUUUGCCAUAGGAUGAAUUCAGCUCCCUGUGUUUUUCUGAUCCCAUUGCACACACUGCAAAGGGAAAUGACAAUGAUCAUUGUCAAAUCAACAUUCCAGGCUUUGCUUGCUGUAUUGCUACUGCCUGAGUUUCUAAAGCAUCCCUUCUCAUCAGCUGUGUAUGUGUUCCUUUAAUGCCUCUGUUAUCUUUGCUCCAUGUGACUGUCUUAUUCACUGUGAAUGGGGGCAUCCUUUUAUGAUUCCUUAUGUGGUUCCAGAGGAUGGGCAAAUUAGCAAACCAGCUUUGUGUGAGAGGGACUCUGACAGACAGGGGAGCUGCUUUGGUUCCCACUGCAGAUACUUCCAACAGGCUUCUUCAGUGUCAUAAUUUUUUUUCAGUCUCCACAGGAAUGUCCAACACAAGCAAAUCUGCCUUGUAUUCCACAGAAACCUAGGGAAAAGGUGAAUAGCAAAUGGAAUAACAAUAGUAAUUAAACUGUCCCUUUUGCUCAUUGCCCUGUUAGGAUCCGUUUCUGAGCACAGGUGUACAACUUUGUGACAUCAGUGUCUGGGAGCAAGGUGACUUUUGGAGUUCCCUGUUGUGAGUCUCAAAGGAGUAAUAUUUCAUCCUGAUCCUGAGAGCAGCAAAAAAAAAGCGAAAUCAGUGUUGGUUCUGUGUACCACCUGAUGAAUUGGAAAUAAUGCUGUCCAGCAUAGUGAAUAUAAGAAGCAGAGGUAGAAAUAGGAGGAAAGAAGAAAAAUUGUCUAAAGAUAGUGUUGUAAAGAUAAUUUUUCUGCUCAUUAUUCUGCCAGAGACUGAAGGAUAAGCAAACCUAGCAUCUGUAAAACAAACAGUUCAUUUGCUUUUAAUUGGAAUACAAGUGUGUUGAUCAGUACUGGCUUUGUGCCAUGACUCCAAUGAAUGCCCAAGUUGGUCACUCAGCAUUUAGAGAUCUUUGUCCUGGGCAGACCCUCCACUGACCUCUUCUUCAUCUCAUCAAACUGGGAAUGCUCUGAAUCAGUUAUUUAUUGGUAGUGACACAAUAGCUGAAGCAGACAACUCAGUGAUCAUACCGGGGUUCCAGAUGCAAGAGCACUUUACUUCACUGCUAUAAGGAAUAUACAGGUUUAGUGAAAAUAAUAAAAGAGCCGCACACAGUUCCUUCCUUCAGUUUCUCUAGCACUCUUGGAACAUCCCUUGGGAACACACAGCAGCUCUUUUAGAUCACUGUGAAUACAUCUACAAGAACUGGCUGUACAGCUGUUCUGGCUGGAAGAGGCUGUUUUUUCUAGAUGUCUGUAGCAGAGGAGUUGGCCUUGAAAGUUCCUUUCAGACUGCUGUGACUUUGUCCUUUUUAAAGUCAGGGUGAACAUCUGACCUUUUUGUUCUUCUAGGGAAAUUGCAUUGUUCUAAAAGCUGUCCCUGCAGACAUAUUUGGCUGAGCUGUCUUCCCUAGGUUCAGGCAUGUCAUUGUCCUAAUUCUUCCCACUUGAAUGGAAGCCACUAGUGUUUGAAACCUUCUAUUGUCCCUUAUGGAAGAGAUGUGACACAACCCUGAUAGCAAAUGGCUGAUUAUUCCAGGUAUCUAAGGAGAUAGUGUUGCAUCUUGCCCAUGAGGUUCCUAAAGAUAUGCUUAGGCAGGUCCUUUACCUCAUCCCACCCCAGUUACAUCCUUAAGUGCACCCAGCCAUCCCUGCCCUGUACUCUACAGCACAGCCAUUCUGACACUGUGUCAGUAUGACUUAUUAUCCACAACAGGAAAGAAGGAAAUCAGCAAACAUCAGGGUCUACAGCAAACAUGGAAUAGUAAAUUAAUUGGAACAUGCUGAAAGCCUUGGCAAACGCUUUGCCUGUGACAUUCCUAAUUUCCCAGAGGAGUAGCUGCUGAUAUUGAUUUUGACAGAGCCUGUAAAGCCUCUUGCUGCAAAGAUUCCUCUCAUAGCUGGGCAAGGCUGAAGUGCAGCACUGGGAUGUGCCAAGAUUUCAUUGGAAAUUAAUGUGUUUAAUCUCAAAAUAUGUUAAAAUAUACAUAAGCCCUUUAUGAUUAAAAAAUAAAUCCUUGA